UACGUAGGUGGCGAGCGUUGUCCGGAUUUAUUGGGUUUAAAGGGUGCGUAGGCGGGCAGGUAAGUCCGUGGUGAAAUCUCUGAGCUUAACUCAGAAACUGCCAUGGAUACUAUUUGUCUUGAAUACUGUGGAGGUCAGCGGAAUAUGUCAUGUAGCGGUGAAAUGCUUAGAUAUGACAUAGAACACCAAUUGCGAAGGCAGCUGGCUACACAAAUAUUGACACUGAGGCACGAAAGCGUGGGGAUCAAACAGG
rnacentral:rRNA from 1 species